rnacentral:rRNA from 1 species
CCUACGGGCGGCAGCAGUGGGGAAUAUUGGACAAUGGGGGGAACCCUGAUCCAGCCAUGCCGCGUGUGUGAAGAAGGCCCUCGGGUUGUAAAGCACUUUCAGUGAGGAAGAACGCCUGGUGGUUAAUACCCAUCAGGAAAGACAUCACUCACAGAAGAAGCACCGGCUAACUCCGUGCCAGCAGCCGCGGUAUACGGAGGGUGCGAGCGUUAAUCGGAAUUACUGGGCGUAAAGCGCGCGUAGGUGGCUUGAUAAGCCGGUUGUGAAAGCCCCGGGCUCAACCUGGGAACGGCAUCCGGAACUGUCAAGCUAGAGUGCAGGAGAGGAAGGUAGAAUUCCCGGUGUAGCGGUGAAAUGCGUAGAGAUCGGGAGGAAUACCAGUGGCGAAGGCGGCCUUCUGGACUGACACUGACACUGAGGUGCGAAAGCGUGGGUAGCAAACAGGAUUAGAUACCCCAGUAGUC